UACGUAGGGCGCAAGCGUUGUCCGGAAUUAUUGGGCGUAAAGAGCUCGUAGGCGGCCUGUCGCGUCUGCUGUGAAAUCCCGGGGCUUAACCCCGGGCGUGCAGUGGAUACGGGCUGGCUGGAGGCAGGCAGGGGAGAACGGAAUUCCCGGUGUAGCGGUGAAAUGCGCAGAUAUCGGGAGGAACACCGGUGGCGAAGGCGGUUCUCUGGGCCUGUACUGACGCUGAGGAGCGAAAGCAUGGGGAGCGAACAGG
rnacentral:rRNA from 1 species